UGAUAUAUAUACAUGUUUUAACUUAUAUAAUCUAAUUCUAGUAUAAGAAAUUUUAUAAUUAUAAAAUAUAGAAAUAGAAUAUUUGAAUAAUAAAAAGUAAUUAUAU
rnacentral:rRNA from 1 species